rnacentral:ncRNA from 2 species
AAUUCCAUAAGCCUAUUAAGUGCAUCCGUAUUCAGAAGAAUACUGGUGAAAAGGGAAUCAGGUGUGAGUCCUGAGCGAUCCGGUCACUGUAUUUGGGGAGCAAUACUGCAGAGAAUCCAUUGUAUUACGACGUAGUAAUAUGAGAAGGAGCAGUAGAGCGAAGAACCAUGAGUCAGGAAACCUGCUUAAUAGUAGUAAGGCAA